CCUACGUGAGGCAGCAGUGAGGAAUAUUGGUCAAUGGGCGCGAGCCUGAACCAGCCAAGUAGCGUGAAGGAUGACUGCCCUACGGGUUGUAAACUUCUUUUAUAAAGGAAUAAAGUGAGGCACGUGUGCCUUUUUGUAUGUACUUUAUGAAUAAGGAUCGGCUACCUCCGUGCCAGCAGCCGCAGUAAUACGGAGGAUCCGAGCGUUAUCCGGAUUUAUUGUGUUUAAAGGGAGCGUAGAUGGGUUGUUAAGUCAGUUGUGAAAGUUUGCGGCUCAACCGUAAAAUUGCCAUUGAUACUGGCAGCCGUGAGUACAGUUGAGGUAGGCGGAAUUCGUGGUGUAGCGGGGAAA
rnacentral:rRNA from 1 species